rnacentral:rRNA from 1 species
AGUGAACGCUGGCGGUGUGCCUAAUACAUGCAAGUCGAACGAAGUGGCGCACGGGUGAGUAAUAUAUAGUUAAUCUGCCCUACACAGAGGAACAACAGUUGGCAACGACUGCUAAUAACUCAUAGUGUAGGAUGAGACUCUAUCGUAUCAGCGAGGUGGUAAGGUAAUGGCUUACCAAGGCUAUGACGCGUAACUGGUCUGAGCUGAUGAUCAGUCAAAUUGGAAGUGAGACACGGGCCAAACUCCUACGGGAGGCAGCAGGAAGGAAUAUUGCGCAAUGGGGGAAACCAGGACGCAGCAUCGCCGCGUGGAGGAUGAUACUCUGCGGAGCGUAAACUCCUUUUAUCAGGAAAGCGGUACCUGAUGAAUAAGCACCGGCUAACUCCGUGCCAGCAGCCGCGGUAAUUC